GUCCUAGCCGUAAACGGUGCACAUUUGCUGUGAGAGGAUUCGACCCCUCUCGUUGCGUAGCCAACGCGUUAAAUGUGCCGCCUGGGAAGUACGGUCGCAAGAUUAAAACUCAAAGAAAUUGACGGGGGCCUGCACAAGCGGUGGAGUAUGUGGCUUAAUUCGAUGCAACGCUAAGAACCUUACCUGGCCUUUACAUGUAGAUAGUAGAAGCCUGAAAGGGUGACGAGGUAGCAAUACCAGUCUACACAGGUGCUGCAUGGCUGUCGU
rnacentral:rRNA from 1 species